ensembl:lncRNA
GGCGUUUUGAAUCUUCUCGUAUAGCGUCUGGCUUCCCUCACAAUCAAUCAGCUGAUGCGUGUGACGCGAGCGGCGUGGACGCGUUUUUUCUUAGCGCCCACGCGGUCGCCACUUGGUUUCAUAAAUACGUGCUAACAUUUCCAGUAUUUGUCUUUAUUAUAACGACUUUUUUGACAUAUUGCGGUCUUAGAACGAGAUGCUAACCGGACUGAAUCAUGAAUCAUGGCACCCAUCAGAGGUGUCCACGCGAGAACAUGCCCGGCCUCGUCUGAUUCUCAGGGCCGGGGAAAGACGGGACCAGCACUAUGGACAGCAUAUUCCCUGACCAGCUUUUCCCACAUUUUUACAUGGACGGACCGCCUGAAGUAAAGCCGAAGCGUGGUCGCUGUCAAUGGUGGAUUGACUUCCACAGGGUGGUGCAACAGCUCAGUGAUGACGAGCCUCCUAGUCUUGUCAUGGACUCUCAAGCUUUUGUCUGAUUUGAAUGGAGCUGUCAGAUCAGUUCGGCCAGUUUGGAGGAUGUAGAUUGCAGAAGUUCCGUGAGGAGGAUUCCAACCUGUACUUCAGUGCUAAGUCGCCAUGGCGAUGGUGUGAGUUCUCCUGUCACCCGAGAGUGAUGGUGUAUGCUGACAGAACGGGGGCGGAGCUUACAGACAUACGGGUGGGUCUCAAUUUAUUAUUCAUCUUUGUCACUUCCUCGGUGCAGAGUGCUGACGUAGUUCUGGAUCAGAAGGACAGCAGCCUGUAUGUCGGGAGAGUGAGUGAUACUCGCCAAAUACCUGAGAAGCCACGCCCAUCACCACCUCAUUAAUAAACUCCCAGGUAAACGCCGUCAUUUAUCUCAUAACAUCUUCAGAUAUUAGCCUGAAGGAGUUGCAGCAGUGUGAUUCACCCUGUGGUUUUUCCAGGCAAUCCUUCAGAGCUUCCUUGAAUGAUGAUCUGUAUCAGUUGUUAUUGACUCUACACACACACACACACACACACACACACACCCACACCACUGAACCUUUUUUUUUUUUUUUAAUUCUUUACAAGAGCUGUUUACCGCUGUCAGUGUAACUAGAGAUCUGAUUUUAAUUCUGUGGAACAGUUCCUUAUUGAAUGUAUUAACUCUGAUUUUGACUACCAAAAAGUACCUUGGCACUUACCAUAGUAUUUCUGUGGUAAUCUUUGAGCUAUCUUUGUGUACGCAAAUACAAUUGUAUAUGAGAAGCGUAAUCAUUAAGUGCCAUUGUAUUCUAGUUUUUCACUACUGUUAGAAGGUUUAAGGUUAAGAUUUUUAAUGUCUCUCUUGCUCACCAGGGGAUGGGUGUAUGAGCAACAGUUUCUGAUUCGUUAUAAUUUGUGCUUUUAUGUAUUUGGCUGAUGGUUUUAUCCAAAGCAAAUUACAGUGCAUCAUUAUCAGCCUGUCACUUUGAGUGUUGCCUGGAAAUGUGCACCAGCUGUGGGACAGGAUGAUGAUUAGGUUUAUCAAAUCAUGUAAUGGUGGUAUUAUAAUUGUAUUGGUCAAAAGUUAAUUUUGUUUCAUGCACCAAGGCUGGUUCACACAGAAUGCAGUUUUGUUCUGCAUUGCUUUUAUAAUUUAAUACAUUUUUUGUAAUGUAAAUAGGUUGGGCAGGCGUCUUUGACUGUCAUGCUUUUUUUUUUUUUUUUUUCAUUUUUUACAUUUUUGAUUGCAUUAAUGUGAAUAAGAAAUACUUAAAACAACUCAAAACAUCUCGUGAUAUAAUAGUUACUGGCUUAGAAUAAGAUUGAAUCUUAUAAUUUUGAUAUAACUAAUGACUGCAUCUUAAUUUUACCUCACUCACACCUCGCUCAGAAGAGACUGAAUGUGCCUGCUGCAGGUCAGGAUGCUUUUACAGCCAUUUCAACAGUUUUGAAUACAAUGAAGUAUUUACUCUGUGAAAUAAUUGCAUUAGUCAAAGCAAUUUUGCAUUUAUUGCUUCAUAAAAAGAGCUGACAAAACCAUAACUAUAGGAAUUCAUAUGACUUCAGUUGGUAAAUUAGGAUAAUCUCUGGUGCAUCAUAUGAGACUUUGGGUAAAGUGGGAUUGCUGGGUUUUCAUGUGAUCACAGUAAAUGCAAGGAAAUUGUUAACUGAAGAUUGACUUAUAAUAAGUCUGCAUAAUAUGGGGAUUUUUUUUUUCUAAGAUUGCAGUUUAAAAAAAUAAAAUACUUUAGGUUUGCUGAGUGGCA